CAGCAGGCGCGAAAACUUUACAAUGCUGGCAACAGCGAUAAGGGGACCUCGAGUGCCAGGAUACAAUCUUGGCUGUCGCGAUGCCUAAAAAGCAUUGCAUAGCAAGGGCCGGGCAAGACCGGUGCCAGCCGCCGCGGUAACACCGGCGGCUCGAGUGGUAACCGCUAUUAUUGGGUCUAAAGGGUCUGUAGCCGGCCGGAUAAGUCUUUUGGGAAAUCCAGCUGCUCAACAGUUGGGCUUUCAGAAGAUACUGUUCGGCUCGAGACCGGGAGAGGUGAGAGGUACUUCAGGGGUAGGGGUGAAAUCUUGUAAUCCUUGAAGGACCACCAGUGGCGAAGGCGUCUCACCAGAACGGAUCUGACGGCAAGGGACGAAAGCUAGGGGCACGAACCGGAUUAGAUACCCGGGUAGUCCUAGCCGUAAACGAUACUCGCUAGGUGUCAGCCACGGUGCGGCCGUGGUUGGUGCCGUAGGGAAGCCGUGAAGCGAGCCACCUGGGAAGUACGGCCGCAAGGCUGAAACUUAAAGGAAUUGGCGGGGAGCACAAGGGCGAAUUCGCGG
rnacentral:rRNA from 1 species